GGGCGUGGGGGCCGGCGGGGGAGGGGUGUGUGGUGUGUAUGUGUAGUAUGCAGUUGUAGGUGUGGAUGGAUGUGCGGCCUUGCACGCGUGCUCUGCAGUAAUCCCUGCUCGCAAGAGACCCCCCCAUCCCUGUGCAGUUGCCCCCCCCCCCCCCGACCUCCCAACUCCCCUUUUCCUCUUCUCGGGGAGGCUGAGCCCUUGCGUCGUCUCGCACUAAAAGAAUCCUAGCCGAGGGUUCCUAGUGAUGAAGGGACAGGGGAAACAGGUUUCCACUGCUCUUUGCUCAGAUUGGGGCUGGUUGCCCUCUCUCGUCUGCCUUGCUGAGCGGGGCGGCUCUUGCGGGAGCGGUGGCGGGUCAUCUUGAAUGCUGGUUACAAGCAUUGUCUGAAGGGCGGUAAACAGUCGGAGAGGGCUCUCUGUAGUCCUUCUCUCACCAGGGCUCUAGGAACACUGUGUCCAAGGGUGUGGUUUUCUUCCUUGAAGUUAACCUUGAAAAUAUCCCUGCAAACGUUCUUAUUUUCCUUAUUAACCCAUUAUAGGAGUGGUAUAAUGCGAUUGUUCAAAUCUUUCUUAGAAAAGUUGUAUUUUCAGUUGUAGUAUCUAAAGAUGUUUAGAUAGUAAGUUCCAUAAAUUAACAACCCCAGGGGGUGAAGCUGGUCUUUUGUUUUAUUUGUCCCGAACUUUCCUCUUUUAAGUGUCAGGGGGUAUUAUUAGCAAGCUCUGUUAAAGUGGGAUUUGGUGGAAACAUCCUAAAUCCUGUCCCCGCCGCCCUGAUUUUAUCUGCUUUUCUCACAUUCCCUCAGUGUGUUUGGAACAGAAGGAAGAGUAUUUAGGCGUAUGAAUGUGAUAUACCAAACUCCUGUGUGGCCUUGGGCAAGUCUUUUCCUACACCUCGGUUUCUUCAUCUUUAAAAUAGCUUUAGCAUAAAGCUUAAGUGAGGUAAUAGAAAAGGCACCAAAAUGGCAGCCCCAUGAGACUGCCAUACUCACACUUCAUUAGUGUAUCAGUCAACUAUCUCCACAAUAUGCCGUGUAACAAACUACCCCAAAACUCAGUGGCUUAAAAUAAUAAUCAUUUAUUUUUGCUCAUUCAUCUGCUGGUCAGUCAGCUGCUGCUGGGUUGCGCUAGGCCGGGCUGGGUUCCAAGCUGCCAGUUGGAUCUCAUCCUCUGGACCAGUAUCUGGCUGAUGCUUGUUCUUCCCAAGGUGAUGGCAGAACAGGAAGAGGGUGUAGCACAGAAGAGUGUAGGAGUGAUGAAGUGUGUGUAAAAGCAUAUUAUGUCAGCUCAUGUCUAUGAACAACCCAUUGGCCAAACCCACUGUUAACGGAGUGGAGAAGUAUAUUCCACCCGUGGUGGGGGAGGGAGGGGAAUGAAUAUUUCGUGACUAAAAAUCCAACUUCACAGGCAGGGAAGGCAAACAGCUGUAGCAAACAGCCCCCAAAGUGGCUUAAAGCAAUAAGAAUUUAUUUCCCAUUCAUGCAGCAACACUACAUGCUGGUGUUUCUGGUCGGGCAGCUUACCUCCAUGUAGUGACUCAGGUACCCCGGCUUCUCUCUUGUCACUCUGUCCUCCUCUGGGUCCUGGAAGUUUACUCCAUUCAGCCAGUGGAUAGGAAAAGAGGAAAAAAUACAGGACUGCAUUAGAAUUUUUAUGGACCAGUCUUAAAAGUAGUCUCCAUUAUUUCUGCUCUCAUCUCUUUGGCCAGGACUUAGUCUCAUGGUCUUAUCUAACUGUGAGGGAGGCUGGGAGUGUAGUCAAGCUGUGCACCCAGGAGAAAAAGAAAGCAGGCUUGGAUGGACUUGGAGCAUUCUUUGCGAUACACUAUUGAAGGAUCUGUCAAACUUGAGCUUGAAAUUUCCAGACAUCCUGAGACAUCGACUUUUUGGAAGGUCUCACUGCCACUUAAUUCCUUUUCAGAUGCAAUGUCAAGCAUUAUUUAGGUGUUACCUUACAGGGCCCCACCUUUGGCCUGAGCAUUUGUCCCAGUUUGGACCUCUGGUGAACUCCAAUUCCAACUUUUAUUUUGGAAACAAAGGAAUCUAUUUCUUCUAGAGACAGCUAUAAUACACGUUUCAAACGCCUUUCUUGAGUAUAGCUUGUCCUGUGUGACUUUCUUUUAGUGAAUGAAAUAUGGCAGAAGUGAUGCUUUUCAGUUUAUGAGGUUAGGACAUAAAAGGCCCCAGGGCUCUGCCUGACUCUCUCAGGAUGCCUUUGCACUCUGAGAAAACCAAGCACCGGGCGCCUGGGUGGCUCAGUUGGUUGAGCGACUGCCUUCGGCUCAGGUCAUGAUCCUGGAGUCCCGGGAUCGAGUCCCUCAGCAGGGGGUCUGCUUCUCCCUCUGACCCUCCUCCCUCUCGUGCUCUCUGUCUCUCAUUCUCUCUCAAAUAAAUAAAUAAAAUCUUUAAAAAAAAAAAAGAAAACCAAGCACCUACAAGGAAAGGCUACUUGUAGGCAUUCCAGCUACAGUCUCAGCUGAGGUCUGAGCCAACAGCUAGCAUCAACCAGUAAGCAGGCAAACAGGUGAGCCUUGAACUGCCCUGGCUAGUUGUCGCUGGCCAAAUUACAGGUUGGUGAGCAAAAUAAAUUUGUAGUUGUUUUAAAUCACUAAGUUUGGGGAUGUUUUGUUAUGCAGCAGCACCAUGAGAUGGAAAAGUCAUAACUUACUGGUGUCAGGGUCUCAGGUCUCAUUUGGGGAUUUUUCCUAAAUAUCUUCUGCAAUACCCACACAUGUACUUAUUCAGUAAACAUUUAUCAGAUAUCCAUGAAGUAUCUGGCAGUGUCCUCUGGAUGUGGAAGACGUAAAGAUGAUGAGACUCUUGAGUUACAAGUCUAGUGUGGUAAAUGAAUUACUCUGAGUCAAUCAACAAGCUCAUGCUCAUACCUUGCAUUUACUUAUGACUUGGGUGUCAUUUAUGUCUGACAACAUUUCAGCCUGCUGCUUGGAACAGAUUGUAUACUGUUAACAGAUGGUGUUGAGAGAGCUGAACCACUCAACUCCAAUUACAUUUCCAUUUUCUUUGUUGAGAAGGAUGCUUUGGAAAAUGUCGAGCUAAUAAGAGGAAGCUAAUGGACUCUUGAUGACUGUCAACUGCAGGGUAGGGAGGUGGGGGAGGGCGUCGGUGUGGGGGAAGCCUUUAGAGAUUUGCUGUGGGGCAACAUUCCUCAGGCCUGUUCAAUUUGACAUUUUUUUUUUAAUUGGGGAUUUGAAUGGGGAUGUAGAUAGAAUGCUAAUUAUAUUAGGAAGGAUGUAACUGUAAAUGCUAGGGCAAGCUGGAUCCUGUGGAGAGAUGGAGAAAAUAUGAUGAGACUAGACCUGAUAGGGACAGAUGUGGGGCCUUCUUGAUCUGACCAGAAACCCUACAGGUACAGACAGAUGUGAUGAACCUGAUUACCUCUUAAGAGGAGGUGAAUUUUGUGUUUGUGUGAGUAAGAGGAAAGAGUUUUCGGUCCGAGUUUCCCCUGACUGUAAGGAAGACAUUCACUCUGCUUCAGAGUUUUUGCCCUUGUUGAAAUGCUCAUGUGAGAUGUUCUUCUUAGUCUAGAUAUUCACAUUGUACACCUUCUUAUUUCAUUUAGAAAGUUGCUUAAGUGUCCUCUCCUCAGAGAACCUUCCUUGACCACCCAUAUAGAGUAAUUCCCCUGUUAUUCUCUUGACUUUUACCUUGUUUCAUCUUUCUUCAUAGAAUUCAUCUCUACCAAAUGUGUUAUAUAUUCCUUUAUUUGUUUAUUGUCUCUCACCCCACACUAGGAAAUGGAAGAGCUCAAUCUGUCUGGUUUACCACUGCAUCCCCAGCACCAAAUGCAAUGCAUGACACCUCGGCUGCCAUAUUGUGAGCAGUUCUAUGGAGAAGACCAUGUAGUGAGGAGCUCAAGUCUGUGGCCAACAGCCAGUGAGGAGUGGAGGCUAUCAACAAGGGAGUUGGGAAGUGGGUCCUCUGGCCCCAGACUGGAACAGGAAAAGGAGCCAGAAAAUGGGCGUUUGGUAAUACUGGGAAUUACGGUUUCUGAAGAACCUGUGAGGGAAGACGUUUGAGGGACCCAAAUGCUUAGGAUACGGAGGAAGGAAGCCUGCGUCCGGGUCUGCAUGGUGCUCGUGUGUGCGCGGUGGUCUAACGGGCCAGCCCCUCUUGCCUGGGUCUCUGGAAGGGACACCUACAAGCAAUGCUGCAAAUGAAUGAAAGCAAACAAAAUCGGGGCGCCUGGGUGGCUCAGUUGGUUGAGCGGCUGCCUUCGGCUCAGGUCAUGAUCCUGGAGUCCCAGGAUCAAGUCCUGCGUCGGGCUCCCUGCUUGGCAGGGAGCCUGCUUCUCCCUCUGCCCCUCCCCCCUCUCAUGUGCUCUCUCUCAUUCUCUCUCUCUCAAAAAAAAAAAAAAAAAAAAAAGCAAACAAAAUCUGUGUGAGUGUCUGUGUAGGAGAAAUUCUGUUUCUUUGUAGUUUUUGACCAAUUUUCACAUAUUUCUGACUUCUUUUUAAUUUGCAUCAUUUCUGGAAAAUGGGCCCCUUCUACAUACUACAGUUUUUAUCCUCCUCCUUUAAAGAAUAUGCAAAACUGCCCUUUUCUGUUCAGUUCAUUUGUUCAUUUCAGAAUUCUGUCUCCUUUAUGCAAUGUGUUGCUCUUUGGCUUGGAGCCAGAUUACUAAGCUUCUCCCAAUCGAGCCUGAUAAAAAGACAAUUACAAGCUCACUGGGGAAGGAGUAAUAAUUUAUAACAGGCAAGUAGGAAGAAAGGAUUUAUUUACUCUCACUGCACCUCCAGGAAGGAUUGUGGUAGCUGUGUGCUUUCAGGCAGGCCCCUUCUGUUGUAAUGAAAGUAUAGACACAUCUCUGAAGCACCUCAGAUAGCACGUGGGGGUCAGGAGACCUGGGUCCAGGCACUGGCACCAUUACCUGGCAGCCCGGGGCCCGCAGACCGUUGCAUCGUUUCUCUGAACUCUGAUCUCCUCCUCUAAGAAAUGGAGAUUGUAAUUGAGCUGUCACCAGGAUCUGUGAGAUCAAGUAUCUGAAAGCAUUUUGUAGGUGAGAUGUAUUAUGUGAAGGGGCGUGGUUCAACUACUUUGGUUUCUUUUUAUAAUUUCCCUGCACCAUGCUAAUUACUUCUCUUUAGUACUUUCCGAGCUAGUCUCAGUAUUAUUCUAUUGUUAUCAUUCCAUGCUCCCCAAUAAAUGCU